CCAGUGUGGUGUUACAGGUUCUCCUAUUUUCAUUAUCCCAGGCUGCCCUGAGCUGUAAGGUAGCACUGUUUCAUGUCAGGAAGCUUUCUGCAUCCUUCUGACGGAUAUUGUAGAGUGCUCUCUGUGGGUGAGCAGUGUCUAAAGGCUCACAGCAGCCUUGUGGCAGAUUUAUUUUAAAAAAUGUUGGGAAUUUUUACUGGAUUUUUUUUUUUUUUUUUUUUUUUUUUUUCAAAUGGUCCAAGAUCUUGUGCAAGCCUAACUAGUUAAUGCAUUUUUCUUCAGUCUGUUUUUUUCUCCUGGAAUUUUAAGGGCAUCUUUUUCCUCAGAGUGAGCACAUUGUGUCAAUGAUCUGUUCCACUUCAGACCAGUAGAACAAUAAUUUUUUCCCCCUGAUGUCCAUUUGCACUGGACCAAUAUCUUCAGGAAAAAGCAUUCCUGUUCUUCAAGAUGAAUCACUGGCAUUGUGUUUUUGUGGACAAAGUGAUCGCCUGAGCUACUCUGCAACAGCUACAGCACCACAGGUUACGAAGUGGAAAGGGGAACCUGGAUACCUGGAUCAAGAUUUAAAUCAUAAAGAAAUUAGUGCAAAAAAAAAAAAAAAAGCAUCGUCAGAUUCUCAGAAACCAUUACAUGAUGUAUUCUAUUAUUUAGCUUUGUUUAACUGGAGCUGAAGUUUUCACAGACUCAUGCAUAUUCUCUGAAUACAUUGGAAGAAAGAAAUGAAAUACUUAAUGACACAAUAAACAAAUUGCUCUGAGAAGCCUUGAGUUUCA
rnacentral:lncRNA from 1 species